rnacentral:rRNA from 1 species
UACGUAGGGUGCAAGCGUUGUCCGGAUUCACUGGGUGUAAAGGGUGCGCAGGCGGGCUCUUAAGUCAAAGGUGAAAUCUCUCGGCUUAACCGAGAAAUUGCCUUUGAUACUGAGAGUCUUGAGUACGGGAGAGGGAGAUGGAAUUCCAGGUGUAGCGGUGAAAUGCGUAGAUAUCUGGAGGAACACCGGAGGCGAAGGCGGUCUCCUGGCCCGUUACUGACGCUCAGGCACGAAAGCGUGGGGAGCAAACAGG